rnacentral:rRNA from 1 species
GGGAAUAUUGGACAAUGGGCGCAAGCCUGAUCCAGCCAUGCCGCGUGAGUGAUGACGGCCUUAGGGUUGUAAAGCUCUUUCGCUAGGGACGAUAAUGACGGUACCUAGACAAGAAGCCCCGGCUAACUUCGUGCCAGCAGCCGCGGUAAUACGAAGGGGGCUAGCGUUGUUCGGAAUUACUGGGCGUAAAGCGCGUGUAGGCGGGCUUUUAAGUCAGGGGUGAAAUGCCAAGGCUCAACCUUGGAACUGCCUUUGAUACUGGAAGUCUUGAGUCCGGGAGAGGUGAGUGGAACUGCGAGUGUAGAGGUGAAAUUCGUAGAUAUUCGCAAGAACACCAGUGGCGAAGGCGGCUCACUGGCCCGGAACUGACGCUGAGACGCGAAAGCGUGGGGAGCAAA